CGCCUGUUUAUCAAAAACAUCGCCUCUUGUUCAAUUAUAGGAGGUCCAGCCUGCCCAGUGACUUUGUUCAACGGCCGCGGUAUCCUAACCGUGCGAAGGUAGCGUAAUCACUUGUUCUUUAAAUGAGGACUAGUAUGAAUGGCCCCACGAGGGCUGCACUGUCUCCUUUUUCUAAUCAAUGAAACUAAUCUCCCCGUGAAGAAGCGGGAAUUAUCCUAUAAGACGAGAAGACCCUAUGGAGCUUUAAACAAUUGAAACAUUUGCUUUUCUCCUAACUCCUCCCGAGCUCUUUAUUUUUAUUUAAGCAUUAUUAUUUCUAGUUUUAGGUUGGGGUGACCACGGAGCAAAACUAAACCUCCAUGAAGAAAUGAAUAUUUUUAAGCCACAAACUACUUUUUUAAGCAUCAACAAAUUGACCUUCAUUGACCCAAUAUAUUGAUCAACGAACCAAGUUACCCUAGGGAUAACAGCGCAAUCUACUUCAAGAGCUCAUAUCGACAAGUAGGUUUACGACCUCGAUGUUGGAUCAGGGUAUCCUAGUGGUGCAGCCACUACUAAUGGUUCGUUUGUUCAACGAUUAAAACCCU
rnacentral:rRNA from 1 species